rnacentral:rRNA from 1 species
AAGAAUUCAAAGGUCGAACAGACCUAGUUACUAAACUGAUACACCUAGUACUAAUCUUAAUCCAACAUCGAGGUCGCAAUCAGUCUUGUUGAUAAGAACUCUAAAAGACAAUUACG